CAUUAGUCAGGAAAGGCAACUCAGUGAUCCCUUCAGCUCCAAUGAUGAACUUUGUGCGUGCCCAGAUCAAGAAAGCAGCUGAUGAGACCGAGACUAUUCUUGAAACAACCCCGGCUGGCAAAAGCGAUGGAGAAGGUGCACUUCGAGCAUUCAUCAAGCGCCAGGGCCAAAAGUUAAGGCGGCUAUCAAACCUUUUUGGUUGUCG